AUUGAACGCUGGCGGCAGGCCUAACACAUGCAAGUCGAACGAGUGGCGGACGGGUGAGUAAUGUCUGGGCAACUGCCCGAUGGAGGGGGAUAACUACUGGAAACGGUAGCUAAUACCGCGUACCAUAGGAUGAGCCCAAGUGGGUUUAGGUAGUUGGUGAGGUAAAGGCUCACCAAGCCGACGAGCUCUAGCUGGUCUGAGAGGAUGACCAGCAACACUGGAACUGAAACACGGCCCAGACUCCUACGGGAGGCAGCAGUGGGAAAUGUUGGGCAAGGGGGGCAGCCCUAACGCAGCCAUGCCGCGUGAAUGAAGAAGGCCUUCGGGUUGUAAAGUUCUUUCGGUAGCGAGACGUUAACUACAGAAGAAGCACCGGCUAACUCCGUGCCAGCAGCCGCGGUAAUA
rnacentral:rRNA from 1 species